GUGAAGUCAAGUUCCUGAGUGGGUCUCAUCUUUUUCAGGUUGCCUCUGAGACUGACUAGAAGUACAAGUAGGUUCCUUAAGAGACUGCAUCAGAAAAGUAGGUGAAGAGGUUGAGUGCUGGAGUCCUCAGAGGGACUGACAUGCUGCAGAACUGCUCUGAGUUGAACAGGAACUCCAUCC
rnacentral:lncRNA from 14 species